rnacentral:rRNA from 1 species
AUCACUAAGCGGAGGAAAAGAAACUAACAAGGAUUCCCCUAGUAACGGCGAGUGAAGCGGGAAGAGCCCAGCACCGAAUCCCCCGUCGACAGGCGGUGGGAACUGUGGUGUUUAGGACAGCCUAUGGAGCGGUGUACGAACGUCCGAGUCCCUCUGAUCGGGGCCUUUCCCAUAGCGGGUGUCAGGCCUCUACUGGCGAUCGUCACUUCUCCUCUGAGCGUCCUUGGAGUCGGGUUGUUUGGGAAUGCAGCCCAAAGUGGGUGGUAAACUCCAUCUAAGGCUAAAUACAGACACGAGUCCGAUAGCGGACAAGUACCGUGAGGGAAAGUU